UGCAUUUGUUGUAACAGCAGAUUCGGUUAGCAUGAUAAGUGAGGUUUGCAGUACUGGGAAACCUGUUUAUGUCAUUGGAACUGAGCGCUGUAAGUGGAAGUAUUCAGCAUUCCAUAAAACUUUGAAGGAGAGAGGAGUCAUCCGCCCAUUUACAGGGACUGAGGAUAUCUCAGAGAGCUGGAGUUAUCCUCCGCUGAACGACACGGCAGAAGCAGCUA
rnacentral:misc_RNA from 1 species